UGAGCUCAGAUGAUGAGCAAUUGCAUAGUUCAAAUGAUUACAUUUGUAACUACUAUGAUUACAUCUAGAGUCUUUCGCUCCUAACUGACGACUUUA
rfam:Oryza glaberrima chromosome 8 Oglab08_0009_18, whole genome shotgun sequence.